GUGAGUAUGUUUGUCUUUCUUAAGAUUUAGUUACUAACUGGGAAGAUGAUUAUUUAUAAGAUGCUACUUUCCUAUAAUAUAAAUAAAUUUAUUGACGCUAUAACUAUGACAAUGUGAAACGUGUUAUUAUUCAAUCUAUCACAGCCCCUGCAAUACCUAGGUAAACAACUCUUUCAAUAUGUAUUGAAUGAAAGUUGUUACCAUCUCUGGUAGCACUAGUGAUGUUCACAACUUAUGAUUUUUAUUUUCUGAUCUCUGUAUCUGUAUUGUUUGUUUCUCUGUUUCUUCAAAUACAUGCACAUUAAUUCUUCCUACGGCAUAAUUUGUUUUUG
rnacentral:misc_RNA from 1 species